CCCUUAGAUGUUCUGGGCUGCACGCGUGCUACAAUGGCGCUUGCAACAAGUCUUGCCAACCCGAUAGGGUGAGCGGAUCUUUGAAGAGGCGUCGUGAUCGGGACAGUUGAUUGCAAUUAUUCGACUCGAACGAGGAAUUCCUUGUAAUCGCGAUUCAUCAUAUCGCGCUGAAUACGUCCCUGCCCUUUGUUCACACCGCCCGUCGCUCCUACCGAUUGAGCGAUCCGGUGAAUGUUUUGGACUGGCGUCAGAAGCGGUUCGCUCCUGACACUACGAAAUUUUGUAAACCUUAUCGCUUAGAGGAAGGAAAAGUCGUAACA
rnacentral:rRNA from 1 species